rnacentral:rRNA from 1 species
CCUUGUACACACCGCCCGUCAAGUCAUGGGAGCUGGUAGCGCCCGAAGUCGCCUCGAUUUAGAGGUGCCCACGGCGAGACUGGUGACUGGGACU